rnacentral:lncRNA from 1 species
CCAUUGCUACGAAUUAGGGAGGAAGUGGAGAGGAAGUGGAGAGGAAAGACGGAGCGAGCUCGCUCGGGAUAUAUAUAAGAUUACUUGUCCUCGUAAUUUCCUCGUAAACUUACGAGGAAUUACAGAGGCCCGCGUUUUCAGUUACGACGAAAUAGCGACGAAAUACAAAGGCCCGCGUUUUUGUUAACGACGUUUUUACGACGAAAAGGGUUACGUGGAAUUAACGAGUUAACCAGUUACGAGGAAUUAGCGAGCCUUUAUUUUCUAUAAAUACCCACAACUUUCCUUCUCAAACCACCACACAAACUCACAAAACACACCCUAUCUCAAAUCACACUCCUCACCAAAAUACUUUUCAAAUUAGAAAUAUUUGAAAAAAAAAGAAGAAAAGAAGAUAUUAGAAUUUAUGUGGGUGAGACUUAAGUCUCGCCACAUAUAAUUCCAGUAUCUUUCUUUUUUUCUUUUUUUCUAGUUUUUAUACUCCCGCUUUUCACCAAUUUAGAAAAUUUGGAAAAAAAAAGAAGAGAAGAAGAUAUUUGGAACUCAUGUGGUCGAGACUUACGUAAGUCUCGCCAAAUGUGAUUCAAGCAUCUUUCUUCUCUUCUUUUUUUUAGUAUUUUUUAUAUUUUCGUCGUAAUAUCGUCGUUAUUUUACGACUCUCUUACGACGAUUUUGGCUUACGUGGAAUUAGCGUGCCCCGCUUUUUUAAUUUCGUCGUAAAGUCCUCGUGGCCUUACGAGGUGUUUACGACGAUUCUGUCCUACGUGGAAUAAACGAGUGCCACCUUCGUCAUUUACUUUACGUGGCAUUUACGUCAAUUUAAUUUACGAGGUCUUUACGACGAUUCUGUCCUACGUGGAAUAAACGAGGAUUACGUCGUACAUUCGACGUCAGGUUACGAGGAAUUAACGAGCAGUACGUUUAAAUCCCUAAAAUCCGAAACCCCAAACCCCAAAACCCCAUAUUCCUUAUCUUCUACUUCAUAUAUUCCAAACCCCAUCUUUAUUUUCAUUCCAAACCACAAUUCCCACAUUUACUUAUUUAUAAAACAAACUCCCACAAUUUCUUAUUCAUAAAACAAACUCCCACAUUACCUUAUUCAUAAAACAAAC